GCAUUCUUCCUAACGCCACUGCAGUCUGUGCAUCCCUCGAAAGGAUAACCUUCAAAUUGCUAACCCAGCCUUCACAUAGAUGAAAAGGGCAGAAAAUGAUUCUUUUAAGGGGG